rnacentral:rRNA from 1 species
GACAGGGGUCUCGAGCGUUAAUCGGAAUCACUGGGCUUAAAGGGUGCGUAGGCCGCCUCGUAAGUGCUUUGUGAAAGCCCCCGGCUCAACCGGGGAACUGCAGGGCAUACUGCGAGGCUUGAGGAAACUAGAGGCCGGUAGAACGAUAGGUGGAGCGGUGGAAUGCGUAGAUAUCAAGAGGAACACCGGUGGCGAAGGCGGCUCUCUGGUCCAUGUCUGACGCUGAGGUGCGAAAGCCAGGGGAGCAAACGGG